CCUACGGGUGACAGCAGUGAGGAAUAUUGGUCAAUGGUCGGGAGCCUGAACCAGCCAAGCCGCGUGAGGGAGGAAGGUACAGCGUAUCGUAAACCUCUUUUGUCAGGGAACAAAGUCGGGGACUCGUCCCCGGAUGAGUGUACCUGAAGAAAAAGCAUCGGCUAACUCCGUGCCAGCAGCCGCGGUAAUACGGAGGAUGCGAGCGUUAUCCGGAUUUAUGGGGUUAAAGGGGGGCGCAGGCGGUCUGUUAAGUCAGCGGUCAAAGCCCGGGGCUCAACCCCGGCGAGCCGUUGAAACUGGCAGGCUGGAGUUGGAGAGAAGUACGCGGAAUGCGCGGUGUAGCGGUGAAAUGCAUAGAUAUCGCGCAGAACCCCGAUUGCGAAGGCAGCGUGCCGGCUCCACACUGACGCUGAGGCACGAAAGCGUGGGUAUCGAACAGGAUUAGAUACCCCGGUAGUC
rnacentral:rRNA from 1 species